UAGCCAUGUUGUGGACAUGAAUUUAUGAGAUCCUUAAAUCAUUCCAAACAUUGAAAAAAAGGUCUCAUCUUCUUUUUGUGCAAAAUUCAUGAUCGCUUUCCUUAAGGUA